GGAUGCGAUCGUACCAGCACUAAAGCACCGGAUCCCAUCAGAACUACGAGUUUAAGCGUGCUUGGGCGAGAGCGGAUGUAACAUUUUCU
rfam:Oryza sativa Japonica Group DNA, chromosome 11, cultivar: Nipponbare, complete sequence.